rnacentral:rRNA from 1 species
UACGGGGGGGGCAAGCGUUGUUCGGAAUUACUGGGCGUAAAGGGCUCGUAGGCGGCCAACUAAGUCAGACGUGAAAUCCCUCGGCUUAACCGGGGAACUGCGUCUGAUACUGGAUGGCUAGAGGUUGGGAGAGGGAUGCGGAAUUCCAGGUGUAGCGGUGAAAUGCGUAGAUAUUCACAGGAACUCCGGUGGCGAAGGCGAGGUGCUGGACCCCAUCUGACGCUGAGGCGCGAAAGCCAGGGGAGCGAACGGG